AGGUUGGGAUAAGACUUACUGCUUGCAAUACCUCGAGGACUUCAGUGAAAUCCAUUUCUUCGGUGACAAGACCUAUGAGGUAUAAGACUCAUCUCAACUCUGCAAAUCUAUUCAUUAGAGUUGUUGUAUGGUUUCCGUUGAGCUUGAUGGGUAAAAAUAUGGCUUUUACUUCUGCAGGGUGGAAAUGACUAUGAAAUCUAUGAAUCACCAAAAACAAUUGGCCAUUCAGGUCAGCUACUUGGAUAUAUUAUCGUUUAAUCUCUGUAUGUUUGUGUUGCGAGAUAUUUUCAUGACAAAUAGGAUUGUUUCUGUUGUUGCAGUUACGAGUCCAGAUGACACAGUGGCAAAAUGCAAGGCUCUGUUCAUGUCUUGAAACACUACUCAUCUCAAGAACACAGUGUCAAGAGUUUGAUUCUUCUUUGGCGAAAUCUCACAACUCUUGAUUACAAGAAAUGGAGAGAAGUGUGUUUGAAUGCUAUCUAUACCGUAUGUUUUGAAUUUUGAUUCAUCAAAUAAAAUAUCUUGUUAUAACCUUUUGUUUCAGAACAUGGUCCUCAAAGUUUUAAAACUAAAGGUUAAAAAUAUCCUCUUCAAAAAAAAUUGGAUGUUAAAGAUUUUGUUUACAACAGAUUCUCUCCAAAAAGAGCUUUAAAACUUUACAAGAAUUUACAAGAAGAAACAACAACAAUUUGUAUUUAUAUAUUCAUUAAACAGAAACGCAUAUAAAAACUUCAAACUUGAGAACUGAUAAGAUCAUUCCUCCACGACAUUUUCAAGACUCAACGACCGGCUCAGGCUCCUCUUCUCCUGCAGCUUCAGGGGCAGCGUCAUCUUCUUUUGCUUCGGGAAUUGAGGCGGUGUCGUCAGGUUUGUGAUCAUCAGAAGGAGGAGAAGCGCCACCAGAAGAGGCGGAUCGACGGUGGUUAGCAGCGGCUUGAUGGACGUGAUUGUAACUGCCUUUCUCGAGAAAGAGCUGAUUGAAGUGGACUUUACAGUAGAGGACGCCAUUAAGAGAAGCGUAAGAAGAGUGAGUCAAAGGACAACCACUGUGUGUGCACCUGAAGCAAGUCUUGUGGUAACUUUCUCCUUCCAUUGUUACUUUCUCAAGUGGGUAAACCGUCUUCUUACAAGUCGCACAUUUGUCUUGUGUUCCACUGAAGAAUGAUGAUAACUUGCUUGGAGUUCGAGUCUUGCAGUAUCCAUCAAUUGAGACAAAUCAGAUGAAAAAAAAGAGGAAAUAAAAACAAGAUGAUGAAUCUUUGAAGACAUUACCAGAUGAUCAUUGGGCUUCUCGGUCUUUCCUGCCUGAAAAUUCUUGCUGUAAUUGCCAGAUUCUUUGAAAAGCUGUUCGAAGUGUGGCUUACAGUAAAGAACUCCAUCCAUUGAUGAGUAAUUGCUUAUCUGUGUUAAGAAAAGAUGUGGUCUUUUAAAACAAUGAAGCAUUGUCGAAAAACAGAGUAACAAUGGAGGAAGAAGAAGAAAAGAGAAAUACCACGAGAGUGCCUUUGCAAUGGGUGCAUCUGAAACAUGAUUUGUGAUAAGUAUUACCCUCUAAUGUUAACAAAUCCAUCACGUACACGGUUUUGUCACAGGCCUUGCAUUUAUCCAAUGUUCCUGUAAACGACAUUUUCUCUCUUUCUUUCGGAUGUUAGAUUCAAAAAGUUUGUUCUUCGUUCGCCGGUUCUUGUCUUAGGACACGACCAAACGACGACGAGAGAAAAAACACCAGGUUUUGUGUUUUUUUCUUUUCAUCUCUCAAGUUCUCUGUCUUAUU
rnacentral:sRNA from 1 species